CACACAAAACACACUGAGGAGGAAAGAGGCUAUGAAAAGCCUGCUGGGAUAUGAAGAGUCGACGUCCUGAGCAUGACUGUUACCUCCUUUGUGCCGACUUGGCAAGGUCUGACAUCCUGCAGCCGGAGGUCAGGGUGUCAUAGGACGUGAGCGUGGGAGCAUAGGCAAGGAAAUGUAGAAUGGAUUGAGCGGCCCAAUCAGAGUGAGUUGAGGGGAGGAGUUUAGAGGAGAGGUGUGCAGGUGUGUAGGUGAGUGAAAGGACGAGAGAGAUAGAAAAGAAGAGAGAUGUUGGUGGUCGUGGAAGUGUGAGAGAGGGAACACAAAAAGAAGCAGCAGUGAGGGGCAGGGAACAAGAGCUCCAGCCAAGAAAAGAAAGGAAAAAAAAAAGCAAGAAAGGACAACAAACACAACCAACAACAACAAUUACCGAAAGAAAGCUGGGAAGUUUAAUACAAAGAUAAGCCACUCGCGGAAAGAUGGGUGCACGAACAUUCGUGUAUUGUCACGCCUCUUCACCAGGAAGACACCCAACUGCUCCAUCCUCUGCCGGAAAUCAUCCCAGUCGAGCGUGGCCCUGAGGGUGCCGGCGUUGACCGACUGGUAGAGCUGUUCAUCGUGAGGUUCGAACAGUCACCACUAGCUUGAGCCAGGCUGGGAACCUGUCAAUGGUCUUACAAAGGAAAGAAACAAUGGUGUCGC